rnacentral:rRNA from 1 species
ACUCCCCCAUGUCUCUCUUUCGUUCCCCUCCUCUCGUCCCUCUCCUCCUGCGCGUGCACCGCUGCCCUCAUCACCACGGGCUGCCUCCCCGCGUGCUCCCUGACUGCCCUGCGCCAUAGAACCGUGCCCGUCCGCUCCACGUGCUCGGCUGCUUCGCCCACGCCAAGGAACCCAAGCCGGAGCCCCAGCUGCCUCGCCGGAUUCGCGUCGUCCUCGACAUUACACCCGCCGGCGACCUCCGUCGAAUUCGUCAUCAUCGGGCCUUCCCCGAGCUCGCUAUGCACCUCUACAGGGCCCAUACCCCGAGACCGAUGCCGAUGUCCCUGUGAUCGACUACGUCGCCGACGACCCUUUUUCCCUUUCAGCGGAGCUUCCAGACCCCGAGACCGAUGCUGAAGUCCCUGUGAUCGACUACGUCACCGACGACCCUUCUUCCCUUUCAGCGGAGCUUCCAGGGAGUCAAGGAAGGAUCUCUAGGCGUUGAUGCUACAACAUGCUUGUUAAAUAUUAAAAUGCUACUCUUUACUCUUCUACAUGCUGCAAGAUGCUUGGAGCUGCUUGAAGAUGCUAGUCUUCGAUAGACUAGUCCUUCCACCCUCUAUUCUGGCAUUCCGCAGUUCAGUCCACAAAUACAAACCUUCCAUUUGAUACCAAUGCAUACUUAGUAUAGAUCUGAUGCUUGCGAGUACUUUGGAUGGGUACUCACGGUUUCUUUGCUACCCCCUUUUCCCCCUUCUUUCUUCUUUCUGGUUGUUGCAACCAGAUGGUGGAUCCCUGGAGCUAGAUGCCACCGCCGAUGGGUGCUACUACGUGAAGAUCCCCGAUGACCAGGAGUAGUUAGGAGGUCCCAGGCAGGAGGCCUUGCCUCUCGAUCGUUGUUGCUUUUGUGCUAGCCUUCUUAAGGCAUCCUUUUUUAACUUAUGUCUGUACUAUGAUAUUGUUGCUUCCGCUGACUCUUGUGUAUCAAGCUACGUAUUCGAGCCCUCGAGGCCCC